GCCUGGGUGGCUCAGCCGGUUGGACGUCUGACUUCAGCUCAGGUCAUCAUCUCCCACUCUGUGAGUUCGAGCCCCACUUCGGGCU
rnacentral:tRNA from 1 species